rnacentral:rRNA from 1 species
GUGAGGAAUAUUGGUCAAUGGGCGGGAGCCUGAACCAGCCAAGUAGCGUGCAGGAUGACUGCCCUAUGGGUUGUAAACUGCUUUUAUGCGGGGAUAAAGUGAGGGACGCGUCCCUUUUUGUAGGUACCGCAUGAAUAAGGACCGGCUAAUUCCGUGCCAGCAGCCGCGGUAAUACGGAAGGUCCGGGCGUUAUCCGGAUUUAUUGGGUUUAAAGGGAGCGCAGGCCGAAGGUUAAGCGUGACGUGAAAUGUAGCCGCUCAACGGCUGAACUGCGUCGCGAACUGGCCAUCUUGAGUGAGUACGACGUCAGCGGAAUUCGUGGUGUAGCGGUGAAAUGCUUAGAUAUCACGAAGAACCCCGAUUGCGAAGGCAGCUGACGAGUCCUUUACUGACGCUAAAGCUCGAAGGUGCGGGUAUCGAACAGG